rnacentral:rRNA from 1 species
AGCCGGCUUUUAACACAUGCAGUCGAGCGGUGAAGGGAGCUUGUCUGGAUUCAGCGGCGGACGGGUGAGUAAUGCCUAGGAAUCUGCCUGGUAGUGGGGGAUAACGUCCGGAAACGGCGCUAAUACCGCAUACGUCCUGAGGGAGAAAGUGGGGGAUCUUCGGACCUCACGCUAUCAGAUGAGCCUAGGUCGGAUUAGCUAGUUGGUGGGGUAAAGGCCUACCAAGGCGACGAUCCGUAACUGGUCUGAGAGGAUGAUCAGUCACACUGGAACUGAGACACGGUCCAGACUCCUACGGGAGGCAGCAGUGGGGAAUAUUGGACAAUGGGCGAAAGUGUAACCCGCCAUCCGGGUGUUUUAGCAGUCUUCGGGUUUUAAGGACUUUUAGUUGGGAGGGAGGGAAUUAGUUAAUUCCUUGGUUGUUUGAACGUUUCCAACAGAAUUAACCCCGGGUUAAUUUUGUGCCAACCGCCGGGGUAAUUCCGAGGGGGCAAGCGGUAAUCCGAAUUUCUGGGCGUUAAGGGGGGGUUGGGUGGGGUCAGCAAGGUGGAUGUGAAAUCCCCGGGCUCCACCUUGGAACUGCAUCCCAAAAUACUGAGCUAGAGGUCCGGGAGAAGGGGGGUGGAAUUUCCUGGGUUGGGGGUGAAAUGGGUAGAUUUUGGGAGGAACCCCCUUGGCGAAGGGGACCACCCUGACUGAUACUUACACUUAGGGGCGCAAAGGUUGGGGAGCAAACAGGAUUAGAUACCGGGGGGGUCCAAAA